rnacentral:rRNA from 1 species
UGCGUAGGUGGUGAGGUAAGUCGGAUGUGAAAUCUCCGAGCUCAACUCGGAAAUGGCAUUGGAAACUACCUUGCUCGAGGGUUGGAGGGGGGACUGGAAUGCUUGGUGUAGCAGUGAAAUGCGUAGAUAUCAAGCGGAACACCAGUGGCGAAGGCGAGUCCCUGGACAGGUCCUGACGCUGAGGCACGAAAGCUAGGGGAGCAAACA